rnacentral:rRNA from 1 species
UACGUAGGGGGCAAGCGUUGUCCGGAUUUAUUGGGCGUAAAGAGCGUGUAGGCGGCCAGACAGGUCCGUUGUGAAAACUCGAGGCUCAACCUCGAGAUGUCGAUGGAAACCGUCUGGCUAGAGUCCGGAAGAGGAGUGUGGAAUUCCUGGUGUAGCGGUGAAAUGCGCAGAUAUCAGGAAGAACACCUAUGGCGAAGGCAGCACUCUGGACGGUACUGACGCUGAGACGCGAAAGCGUGGGAGCAACAGG